rnacentral:rRNA from 1 species
AUACGGAGGGUGCAAGCGUUAUCCGGAUUCAUUGGGUUUAAAGGGUGCGCAGGCGGACUUGUAAGUCAGUGGUGAAAUCCCGGGGCUCAACCUCGGAACUGCCAUUGAUACUGCAAGUCUUGAGUUUGGUUGAAGUGGGCGGAAUGUAGCAUGUAGCGGUGAAAUGCAUAGAUAUGCUACAGAACACCGAUCGCGAAGGCAGCUCACUAAACCAACACUGACGCUCAGGCACGAAAGCGUGGGGAGCAAACAGGAUUAGAAACCCCAGUAGUCC